rnacentral:rRNA from 1 species
GACGAACGCUGGCGGCGUGCUUAACACAUGCAAGUCGAACGAUGAAGCUGGAGCUUGCUCCGGUGGAUUAGUGGCGAACGGGUGAGUAACACGUGAGUAACCUGCCCUUGACUCUGGGAUAACUGCGGGAAACUGUAGCUAAUACCGGAUACGACCCUCGGAGGCAUCUCCUGGGGGUGGAAAGAAUUUCGGUCAAGGAUGGACUCGCGGCCUAUCAGCUAGUUGGUGAGGUAAAGGCUCACCAAGGCGACGACGGGUAGCCGGCCUGAGAGGGUGACCGGCCACACUGGGACUGAGACACGGCCCAGACUCCUACGGGAGGCAGCAGUGGGGAAUAUUGCACAAUGGGCGCAAGCCUGAUGCAGCAACGCCGCGUGAGGGAUGA